UUAGUCAGGUACCGUCAUUUUCUUCCCUGCUGAUAGAGCUUUACAUACCGAAAUACUUCUUCACUCACGCGGCGUCGCUGCAUCAGGGUUUCCCCCAUUGUGCAAUAUUCCCCA
rnacentral:rRNA from 1 species